AUUAAUAUAAGUGCGUCCAAGUCUAGUUGUUAUUUUAUUAAUUGUACAUAUAUAUAUAUAUAUAUAUAUAUAUAUAUAUAUAUAUACACACACGCGCGCGAUAAUUUAGGCAUCACAUAUAUAGAUUCUCCUAAAAUAUGUGACUCAUAAACACUAUCACGUACGGUAUCACCUAUUCCUCCUCAAUCUCCGAUUCCUUUAAAAGGUUGGUUAUGGGAAAAUUCAUGCUAAGAAGGCAAAAAAGGAUUUUAAACUAUUUUUAAGCUCAACUAUAUAUCGACCUAAUAUACAUGAGCUUUGUACAAGUAAAUUAUUUUAUUUAGUGGUUGGCUCAGCAUUAGUGAAUAAACACACCGGUAACAUUUUGAUAAUCCCCCAAUUAAGUAUGGGAAUCAACUCUAUAUAGGGGCGAAAAAGCUUGUAGUAUUUGAUUUAGCAGCUUUAUUAUUUUCAACCUUAAGAGAUAUAUGGAUCGAUGCACACUUAAAUUUUAAACUUGUACUUUAAUUUUAGUACUGCUUUUUUCCAUGCAAUCAUCCUACAACUUUGUAAUUAAAAAAAAAAAACCCAAAAAAAAAAGAUUCAUAUUCAAAAAGAAAGCCUGAUGGACCUCAGUGUCAUUAUUCAUAGUGAAACACCUCUGCAAAAUCUCCAUCACGGAAAAGAAAACGAAGGGGAAAAGAAGGUGAAAAAAUUUAAAAACCCACGUGGCUACAUCUUCAGAACUCGGUUCCCGAACUCCGAGAAGCUUUGGAGAAGUUCAAACAUUGUAUAUAAUAAUACACACACACACACAUACAUAUAUGAGCCUUUAACACCUAAUUACUCAAGCAGGAUAAGCAAAUUUACAAAGCAUAUAUAUACUUAGUCACAUGAUACACUACUAAAACAGGUAUAAUUGACACGAGAAAAAACUCUCUGAUAUCUGAUUAGUUCUUUGCGUGAAAAGCUUAUAUAUCUUUUUCUUUUAUUUUUUUGCUUUUUCACUUUCCUUGGGAAAUUAGUGGUGGUGACCACCUGGUCCUUCGUCUGGAGGCGGCUUCGUAGGCCUUUUUGAGAGAGCUCGCUGAAUGGUGGGAACAUCUUCCUGCAAUAUGUAACAAAAUUAAUGCAUCAUGUAUACACAGAAAAAAGAAGAAGAAAAGAAGCAUAAAUAUAUAACUAGCCAUAAAUUAAACAAAGAAGAAGAAGAAGAAGAAGAAGAAGAAGAAGAAGAAGAAGAAGAAGAAUCUCUCUUACAGUAGGUUUGUGUCCGUUCUCUUCCUCCGGAGGAGGUGGAGUUGGUUCGUUGGGGUCAUCAAAACAAUCCCCCCAACCCAAGCAGCAAAAAGCUCUUAAAAUAUAUCGUAGGAAUGGAUGAGGAACGGCUUCAGUGAUGGAAGAGCAUUUCACCAUUCCCAUGGCCAUUUGGGAACUCUCUCUCUCUCUCUCUCUCUCUCUCUCUCUCCCUCCUCUCUCUCCUCUCUUUCCUCUUCUCUUAAUUACUCUCUCUCUUACACACAAAAAAAUCUAUUUUGCUAGUGUACGUUCAUAUAUGCCCACUGAGUUAAUACAUUUAUUGGAACGGAUCAGUGAGGCAUGUGUUAUUGACGUUUCUACCCCUAUGUUUUCGCUUUAUAUUAUUUUGUAGUUUCGGAUACAUUUAGUACUGGUAAAUUCAUUUAUUGAUGGCCAAAUAGUUUUUAGUUGGUCGUAUUACAUUUCCUGGUCAACUUGUUUCCACGUGCUGUCACACUAUAUAUAUUAUCUACCUAUUAUCUAAUCUGAAUUAAUAAUAAUUCUUUUUCCUCUUCGCUCUAAAUUAAAAAAAAAAUGAAUUUCUUUCGUAACAAUAAUACACAAAGGAUGAAUUAUAAUGAAGGAGAUUCUAUAGUCUACAUAAUUAUGCACGAAAUUAUAAUAGACAAUUGGAUAUUUUUUAAUGAAGGAGAUUUUAUGGACUACAUAAUUAUGCACGAAAUUUAUAAUGGACAAUUGGAUAUUUUUCGUCGUAUCUUUUGCCAUUUUUCAGUCGAAAUGAAAAAAUAAAUCCAACUAGCAAGAAUUAAUGAUACUUAACAUAAAUAUUGAUCACAUGCUAACAUAGGUAAUUAAACUAUGUAAGUCACGUAGGCACGCGUCUCGAAGCUAAUUUUGUACCAGAACCCUUAUUAUUCAUUAAUUCCCAAUGUAGCUUCCCUACAUAAAAACGAUAGCAAUCUAUAUUACUAUAAAUACAUAUAGAAUAUGUAGGAGUUAUUGUUCCUCCAAUUAGGAUGCAACCAAGUUGGAUCAAGGGGGUACAAGGGUCCAUCACCUUCCAAUCUGUUUUCUUGUCGGAUCAGAGAGAAUUGAUUUUCAGCUCUAUAUUUCUUAAUCGAUCGAGAGACGAAUUCAAAAUGAAUUGAUUUUUUUCUUUUUAUUUUUGGCUCCCACUUAUGUAUUGCUCCAUUUGAAAAGUAUUAUGGCGGAAGCUCAAUCAAACCGGAUCCAUUUACAUCCCUACCUCCAAUAAUUACUGGUUAGCUUGUUACUUUGUAUAUACACCAAGCUAUUUUUGAAUAGGAGCCAGUAAACUUUGGAAAUUAAGAGGUAAUUUAGAAAACAGAAAAAGUCCGAGGGGUGUGAUGGUAAAAGCCACUUAGCGAGUAAAUAACCAUGACCGGGGAGCUCACCUACUCUCCUUCGAGGCCGCUCGAGACAAACACUGCAAACGCCUCUGCACCGACUCCUACUACAUUAAACAACCAACACCACGUCACCACUGAGAUUUCCAGGUCCAUAUAUACGAAAUCCCCUGGGAAUAAAAUUCUAUGCUGAUCAGUUUGUUUCGAUAUUUAAGAAAAUUAUUCAAUUUACUUUAAUUGAGAGAGCCGUUGGAUUCAAAAUUUAUAAUAUUUCUAAAAUAUUUUAUAUUUUUGUAUUUGGAAUGUCGAAUUUGUCAUUAACUUAUCAAGCUAUAAUGAUUCCACAAUAUUUUUAAUAGAGAAUAUAUAGUAUAAUAUAUAUUCUCGAAAUAUUACAAAUCGUGAGCCAAACAGAUCCUAAAUAUUUUAUCAACUUUAGAAAAUUAAUUCAAGCGGAUUGUUAGGUACUACUCUACGUAACCAUCUAAUUAUACUUCUCGCCUGUUGAUUAUUAUAUCAACUUUAAAUAAGAAAAUGGCUACUAAGAUCUGUUCGCUGGUAAUAUUUUGUUUACAUAUGAUUAAGUCUAAACCCACGUGGUUGUCUGGUCAAACGUCCAAGUCAAGCUUUGGAGGUUUACGAAGUUUCGUGGUCUCAAGUAAUUAAGUAUCUUAAUCAAGGCACACAUCAUGCGAACUCCUAGCGAGACUGCAUAAAAAUGGUUUGAUUUGUACCACUAAUUGAAUGCCUCACAAAUUUACUCUAGUACUUAUUUAUAUAUUAAGCAAUAUACCUGUUCACAUGCACUCCAGAAUAAAGUGUACAUCUGACACCUCUUCAUUCAAGAGCCAAAAAUUGACCUUUGCUUUACAUAUUUUUUUUCAUAAAUAUUUAAAAUUUAAAGGGCCAUUAGAAUUCCUAAUAUUUUUUCUAUUUAUUUAUAGUUUCGUGUGACAUUCAUAAGUGGAUUUUUUUUUAAAAAAAAAUAUCCUGGGUCCAGGGUACGUAAGGGUUUUUUUUUUGAGAGAUUACGUAAGGGUUUGCAAUAAUAUUAAAAAACGAUUUACUCGGUCUUUUAAACUGACUAAGAACGCACGCUCAAUACAUAAUGCUACCUGGUCAAGACCCAGCCAAUUAAAACCAUUUAGCAGUUUCACAUUGACUAGGUCACAUCGUAGUGGUUUUAGUUUAAAUACUUCCCUAAUAAGAUUAAAUAUUGAGUCAAAUGUAACCAAACUGCAAAUUGAUUAAUAAAGAAAUUAAACACAAUCAAACACAAUAUUGGUAUAGCCGUAUAGAUCCAGUUACUUCAUUUUUUACAUCCUUAGAAAUGAAAAACUGAAUAUAUUAUAUUAUAUUUAUGGUAGGUAAAGUUUUUUUUGAGAAUAGGUAGCACGCUACCUGCUUCAUUCAUUGAAUAAAUGAAUUAGGCUACAAAGAUGAGACAACCAAAAUCUCGAAAAAAAAAAAAAAAAAAAGAUGUCAUAGAGCGUCUUUUCAAGAAUCAAUCAAAAGCUUGAGUCUUCGCACCGCUAAAAUAGGGUCAAACUGAAUAUCACGAAAAAUAAGAUUAUUUCUAGCCAUCCAAAUGGUCCAUCAACGUGCAGCUAAUUCAGAUAGACCGUUUCUUCUACUAUGGUAGGUAAAGUUCGAUGGAAUAUUUUACGCACCUCGUUGGGCACUGUGUGCUAUAAGUUAUUAUAAGUAAAAUAUUUGACGUACAACCCCCCCCCUGAAUCUAUGUCGAAGUCAAAUUAGUACAUCUUUUUAAGGGAAAACUUCAAAAACCCCCCCUGUGGUUUCGUGCAUUCUCACUUUGCUAUCCUGUGGUUUAAAACGUAUCAAUUUGCCCCCCUGUGGUUUCGUUUUUAUCUUUUUGUUAUCAAUUUUAUUAUUAUUUUUUUUAAAAUCAGUGACAAAGUUAAAAUUAAAGGAUACUAAAGUGACUAUUCGAUAAAUAUAUAUGGUUAUCUGAAGUUUUUUGUAUAUAAUUUAACGAAAUAUUAACGAAAAAGCUUCCGAAAAGAUAAAAAUGAAACCACACGGGGGUAAAUUGAUACGUUUUAAACCACAGGGUAGCAAAGUGAGAAUGCACGAAAUCACAGGGGGGGUUUUUGAAGUUUUUCCUCUUUUUAAUGAAUGUUGUUCUGACUGGACAGUAAAAAUAAAUAAAUGGGGGUUACGUACCUUGAAACAAUUUAUUGUGUUUUUUUUUAAUUAGAAAUGCAUAUAAAUUUUCAACCAGUAGUACUGAUUUGUUUAUUUUUUUCCUUUUUGUUUUGUGAGAAUUUGAUUUGAACUCAAAAUAUUCUACAUGUGCUGCUAUCAUAUAACAUAAUAGCUUUAAAAUCUCAAACUAGUGAAACACGAUAUUUUUAUAUUUUACAUAUAUUAAUUGUCAUUCAGAUGAGGGGAUCUGUCCUAAAUAUUAAGCAAAACUCUAAGUCUUAAUGCAGGAAUUAAUUGAAGGUUCCUGCACAUAUAUUAAUUAGAAAUUCUACUCCAAGUGUAGUAUAGAUCCUCUAGUCAGAGGGUGAGUGCCUUGAAAAGGUUAAUUUGUAGCCAUUCCUCCUAUAUAUUUACCUGCAAUAGGUUGUAAUGCAAAAUCGUUCAAGUAAUAAUAAUAAUUAUUGGUAUUAAAAAAAUAUACUAUAUUUGAGUAUCCUGAAGGUUUAUUCAGUAGCAGAAUUAAAAAUACUAAGGUUUUUGAUAUUCAGCCUCGAUCAAAAUCUCAUUUGUUUCUCGACAAAGCAAAUACCAUCGCCAAAAAUUUAUUCUUUAUGCAAACAUUUCACUAAAAUCCACUCUUGCUGUGAGCGAAAACUAAAGCAAGGCGAUAGAAAACAAAUUAAACACCCAUUUCCUUACAGUAGCAAUGUGUUAGUUGUACCAACCCCACGAAACGAAAAAUUAAUUUGCCCUAAUUAAAUAAAUCCCAUAAUACUACGUAUAUAUUGACGCUUGUAAAUUUUUCAGACUCAGCUACACCAACAUGCACGCGUCCCUACCUCCCUCUCGCAGGGAUUUAAUAUUAAUAAAUUAAUAUUAAAUACCAAAAAUCUCUUUUUACAAUAAAUUUUAGGAUCUACGUAUAAUAAAAUUUAAAAAAUUAAAUUCUAUUCUAAAUCAAAUCAUUAAAUUUUAGUGAUUUUUCUAAUACAAAUAUAUAUAAUCGUAAUUUAAAACUUCCAAAACUACAUCUGAUUUUUAAAAAUUUAAUCCUUAUAAAAAAAUCUUUAAAUUUUUUUUAUAAGAACACUAAAGAAAAAUUACCGAAAAUAAAAAUUCUGAAAAUUAACAAAAUUAAAUUCUCAUUAUUUUAUUUUUAUUUUGAGAAAAAAAUAGCAAGCUACCUGCUUCAUUUAUUAGGUAAAAUGAACUAGACAUAUAUGGUGAAAGCAACUAAGACUUUCGAAAAGAAAUUCUCAUUAUUUUGUCAUUGCACCACCAUGUCGGUGACUCUGAGGGCUUGUUUGGUUCAUCCAUUUUGGGUAUCGAAUGGGAAGCGGUUUGAUCAAAUCCGGUUAAUUUUGUUUGGUUCGCAUGAAUCGGCUUGGGAUUUCUAUUCCAGACUGGAAUGGGAAUGGCCCAUUAGCCUUCAACUUGAUUCCGGUCUUCUAGCUCGGAUUGAGAUUUCAUUUCGGAAGCCCACUAAGUUCUCGAAGUCCAUGUGACCAUCUCACCCUCCUUCUCUCCACCCCUUUCUCAUCAAAAAAAAAAAAAAAAAUCUAUCCUCUCUCAAAACCCUAUUCCUAACCCACAUCAAUAAAAGUUUUUAAAAAUAAAUUUGAUAUUUUUUUUGAAAAACUUAUUAAAGAAUAGUAUUAUAUUUUUCAUAAAUUUUAAAUAAUAUAAAUUUAUAUUUGAGAGUAAAAUCAGCAUUAUAGUAUCCUAUAAUUUUUUUAAUUUAUACGAACCAAACAAUGAAAUGUGAAUAACUAAUUCCAAUUCCCAAUCCACAAAUAAAUCAAACGUCUUGGAAGAGUGGGUCAUUCCAAUUACUAUUCCAAUUCAUUCCCAUUUCAUUAUCCAUUCCAAUUCCACCCUUGAACCAAACAAGCCCUGAAUGUCGUACCCACUCUUUUUCCCAUUGUAGACCAUCAUCUACAGCAACUCUUGAAGGAGUCACUUUUGCGCAUUCUUCCCGUCAUCAAGGGCGAAGUCAAUUAUAGCAUUUUGAGAAACUAGCUAGUAUAAUAAGCGAAUUUGCGAGGAACAAAAAAAAUAAAGGUGGAUAUUUCUGGUUGAAAGCAAUUUUAAACCCCUCCACUUUCGGUAAAACAAAUGUGCCAUAAUAUAUUGUACACUAGGUAUCCUUACUGUACAGUCCUUAUCAUUCAGCAAGUUACAAUUUUUCUUAUUUAAUUAUAAAAUUAUUAUAAAGUUUGGGUAAAUAAUUAUAUCAAAAUAUUAUUGAAGAGUUCCCUAUAGAAUGAAUUAUUCUCCGCUCUGGAGCUGUUUCAGAACCUCCAAGUAGGAGAUUAAUUAAGGAGUCCAGAUAUUCUGUACUAUAUAUUCACCCUCUUUUUCUAAAGUUGAUCGGACGAUCUUCGUACAAUCAAAUGUGAAGAAGAGAUAAGAAUAUUUCACGACUUUGGUGCUAAAACAAACACAAAUACUGUUGACUUUUUCGGAAUCAGAUAUUCAACCUGAGACAUCCAUCCAAACAAAACGUAACUAAAGUUGAGAGGGAGUCCACAUAUUCUGUUCCCACUCGUUCUCAAAGGUGCGUGCUGAGUCUAAUUUAAUUACUAGUAUAUAUAUAUGCGCGAUAAUUUGGGCAUUAGAGAGAUUCUCAUCAAAUGUGUGGCCCUUAUGCACAAUUACCUAUUCCUCGUCAAUUUCCAGUUACUUUGAAAGGUUUUUUUUUUCUUUUUUUUUUUUAGAGAAAGAUAGCAUGGUACAUGUUUUGUUUAUUUUUUUAAAAAAUAAAUUUAGCUGAAAAUAUAAAUCAAUUAGGAUUCAAAUUUGGAACUCGGUACCAACCACCAAGUCCUUUCCCACUUGCGCUAGCUUUGAAAGGUUGGUUAGGAAAAAUUUCAUGAUAAGAAGGCAAAAAAGGGUUUUUAAUUAUUUUUAAACUCAACUAUAUAUCAACCUAAUAUACACGAUAUAUCUUUGUACAAGUAAAUUGUUUUAUUUAGCGGUUUGCUCGACAUUAGUGAGAAUUGCAAUUUAACUCUAUCUAUGAGCGAAAAAGCUUGUACGUAGUAUUUGAUUUAGCAGCUUAAUUAUUUUUAACCUAAAGAUAUAGAUGCAUAGUUAACUUUAAACAUGCACAUACUUUUAAUUACUACUUUUUAUUUUUUCCGUUGCAUGCAUGCAUAUAUAAUUAGGAAUCAUCCUAUGAUUUUUAUUCAAAAAAAAAACAAAAGAAAAAAAAAAGAUGCAUAUUCAAAAAGCCAAAUGAACCUCAAAAAGCCAAAUGAACCUCGGUUUAAUUAUUCAAUAUAUCUAAAAACUCUGCAAAAUAUCCAAAAGGAAAAGAAAACGAAGGGGCAAAAAAAACGUCCAAAUUCAAAAAUCCGCUGGGCUUUAAAGAAGCUUAAAUAUUGCAUAUAUAAUUUAUACACAAGCCGUUGACACCUACUCUACGCUCCCAAGGAUGGGCAGAUUUAAUUACAAAGCAUAUAUAUAUAUAUAUAUAUAUAUAUAGUCACAUGAGAUAUUAAAAAAAGGCACAACUAACACGAUAUAUAUUAAUCACACUCUCUGAUCUCUGAUUAUUAAUUUCUUUGCAUGAGCAGCAUAUAUAUCCUUUUAUUUCUAUUUCCUUUUCUUUUCACUUUCCGUGGGAAACUGGUGGUGGUGAUCACCUCCUCCGUCGGCCGGAGGCGGCUUCUUAGGCCUCCUUCCUGAGAGACCUGCUCGAAUGGUGGAAACAUCUUCCUACAUACGUAACAAAUACUGCACGCGUCACGUUAUACCCAGAAAAAUAAAGCAUAUUGGCCAAAUUAUUAUUUUUCUAAAAAAAAGUUUUAAGAUCAUACGAUUCAAUACCAACAUGCAACAUAUAAAUUUGCUACCGCUAUGACAAAGAAAUCCUGAGAAAGAGAGAGAGAGAGAGAGUCUUAUUACUGUAGCCGUCGAGCCGCGCUCUACAGCCGCUGGAGUUAUUCCUGAACUACUGCUGCGGCCAUCAAAAGAAUCCCCCCGACCAAAGGAACAAAGAGUUCUUUUUGAACAACAUCGUAAAAAUGGAUGAUAACAUAAUGCAGUGAUUGAAGAUCCUCCCUUCGUUACUAUGGCCAUUUGGAAACUCUCUCUCUCUCUUAAACCUAUUUUUCUAGUAGGGUAUUUCAUGACUAGCACUGAGUUAAUACAUAUAUCUGUAGCAGUGAAUCAAUGAGGCAUGUGUAAUUGACCUUUCUACCCCCUUGUUAUGUGAGACAUACUUUAUUAAUUAAAAAAUAAAUAAAAAAUCUUUCAUUGUUGGACAAGUAUUACCUUCCGUUUUGUCGAACUACAACAACAUAUUUCUUAGUCAACUUGACUUCUAUUUAAUUACUAGGAUUAAUAACUAAUUUUUUUUUUACACUCCCUCAAAAUAAUUAAAUAAAAGAUAUAUUACCUUCUUUCGUAACUAAUGGUACGUACAUGAAAGCUGAAUUAUAAUGAAGGAGAUUCUAUUAACUACAUAAUUACAACAUGGGAUCAAAAUGGAUAACUAAAUACUCAUUGUAAUUUUUUUUUCUUUUUGAGUGAGUAGAAAUACGAGAAUCAUUUAAAAAAGAAAGUUAAAACAAAACUAAUAUGUGAUAUAAUUAAAAGCAAAUUAUUCAGCAAUAAUUUAUAUAGUAUAAAAUAACUGUAUAUAUUCUAUCUUUGCGAUUUACUAGUUUGUAUUUGAAUAUUUAGUACGUCUGCAAGUUUUAUUUAUCUUAUUUUAACAAAUUAAUUCAACUUGAUUGUUUACGUACUAUGCUACAUAUAUUGACAUCUUACUAUACUUCUCAUUCUUAAUUAUUAUAUUGACUAUGAAUAAAGAAAUUUGAGGACAAAGAUACAUUCGAGCAUCCAAAUGAGCUCUAAAGUAAUUGAUAAUAUUUAUUUUAUAUUUAUAUAUAUAUAUAUAUAUAUAUAUAUAUAUAUAUAUAUAAAGUUGGUGCUUCUGAUUUUUUAGCCCUUGGAUUAAAAAUUUUACGGUUGGGAUAAUAGCGGUCCCUUCAGGAUUGAGUGGUUCCCAUUGAUUAAUUAUGUUAAUUCAAUAGUUAAAAAUAAUCAAUGAGGUUGAUCUAAGGGUUAAAAAAUCGAAAGCACCAAUCACUUUAUGCUUCUGGCAUAAUAAUUCUACUUUAUAUAUAUAUAUAUAUAUUAGGUGUAAACCACCAUGGUUUGGUGAAACGUCCAAGUCAAAGCUUUGGAGGCUUACCAAGUGUUGUGAUCCGAAGUAAAUUAAAGUAUCUCAAUCAACACAUUACAUACAUCAUGUUGAAAGCUGAGGUUUCCACAUUAAAAGUUUGCUCUGUCCCACUUGGAUGUCUCAUAACUUAUUACAUUUAGUAUAUAUUUAUGUAUUUGCAGUUUUGUACGACAUGCAUUCAUAAGCAUUAUAUCAUGUACACAGUGUCACUAUCUAAAGUUAUUACCUAUAUUUUUUAUUUCUUGUUCCGUUAUGUCACAAUAAAUUGAAUAACAAAAAAUAAAUCCUUUCUUUGAAUUUGAAGUAGAUUAGAUGAAAAAAAAAAAAAAUCCAUGGGCACUGUAUUGUAAGGGUUAGCAAUAAUAUUUAAAAACUAUUUAAUCGGUCUUUGAAACUGCGUAAGAAGUAUUCAACCUAGGUAUAAUUAAUGCUGGUCAAAAGACCAGCCAAAACCAUAAAAAAACAUCUCAAUUUAAAUAGUUGCUUAAGAUUAAAUAUGAGUCGAAUGUAACCAAACUGCAAAUUAAUAAAGAAAUUAAACACAAUAUUCAAUCCCAAUGGUAGAGUUAUUUCAAAAUUUUCAAACCCAAUGAUAAUUAAAGUUCGAUGGAAUGUUUUACCUCAUUGGGUGAAACAGGAAAAUGUUAUAAGUAAAAUAUAACAUGGUAUUGUUCCGUGUCCAUAACCCUACAACUUUAUUUAAUUACAAGUUAAGAGAUUCCUUCAUCUUUUUAUUUAGUAACUCGAAUAGUGGGUUGAGAGUUUUAUGGCCUCCAAUUUGAUUUGAACAUUGAAUUUCUGCAUGCAUACUCUGUUAUCGUAUGAAAUAAUAACUUUAAAAACUCAAGCUACUAAGAUAUGUAUGAUACCUUCAUAUUUACACCCAUUAAUUUGACAUUCAGAUUAGGGGAUCUGCCCUAUAAUUAAGCAAAUCCCUAAAUCAUAUGUGACGUAGUGCAUAUCCUCUAGUCCCAGGUGAGUUUUUGGAUAGGUUUCCACGUCCGUUCCUGCCAUAGUUGAUAUAGGUUGUAAUGUUAUUUUAUUAAAUAAUAAUAAUUUCAUAUUAAAAAAAUAUGUAUAAAAAAGAAUUUGCUGGUUGAUACUCAAAGUUCAAUUCAGAUUCGAAGCCUAGUUACUUCACAUUUCGAAUUAUUAAGUUUAUUUCUAAAACGAAAUAAACAAAACGAUAACAUACUACAUUUCUCUCAAAAAAAAAAAAAAAAAAAAA
rnacentral:lncRNA from 1 species